UUCAUGAUGAAACUGAUGAGGCUGAAUUGUAAAACUUGCUAAUAAGAAAACGAAUCCUUUGCCAGUGGGAACGGAAAAUAAAAUAGAAAGGCCAAGCCAGGAGGAAAUUCAACAGCAAAGCAAUCCUUCUCCCUCACUGUCCUGACAUAUUAGAAAGUUGAGAUAAGAAAUUACAAACACCAUCCUUGGACCAAACUUUCCCCUUUGCUCUGAGCAGCAAUGCAGAGGCCAGGAGAGCCCAUGGAGCUCUGGGCACUCAGCUCCUGGGCACAGGAAUGAGCAAGCCAUUCCUAAGCCCAGACUUGGGACGUGCAGCCAUCAUGGCGCUAAGACAGGGCCCCUCCCAGAGUGCUGCCUUGUGCUUUUUGGGAACUAACUCCCAUGGCCCCACUGUCCUCAGUCCCACGGCCAGGAAGUGACAGAAGUGAGACCCAAACACACCGCCAUAUCUGCUGGCCCUUCCCCCACCUGAACCCAAAACCCAGUCAAUGUGAGCUUGGUCUCCCACCACCUCCAACCAGGUGCUGAAGACCUGUGCCCAGGCUCCCACAGUUAUUGAGACUCUGUUCAACGCCUACCCUCAGCUCCGCGUGUCCGAGUCCUGGAGGGAAGUGAUUCCUGAGGAAGUAUUUCAGAUGCACCAGGCCUUCUACCAGUCUUUCUUCGCCUUGGCCCACACCCCACGCUGUCUGCAGCAUCUUGGCCGCUGCGCCAUUCGGAAAUUACUUGGCAAAAAGUGCUUUCACCUCGUACCCCUGUUACCCUUGCCAAAGUCCCUGCAAAAUUACCUCCUUUUGGAACCAGAGGGUGUUUUGCACUGAAAACCAGAGCGUUCAGACUAAGGCUCUAGCUCUCACCGCUGCUGUCCAUGGAGGCUGUGUGUUGAGGAGAGCACCACGGGCGAAGAGGGACAGACCCGGAUGGCACCUCCCACGUCCCCUGGCCAAUGCAGCGGCCUCACUGAGCUUCACUGUCACUUUGGAAUGGAACUGGUAAUAAAAGGCCUUUCUGCCUCUCUGGGUUGCUUAUGAGGAUCAAGACUGCAAAUAUCAUAGUAUUUGGAUCAGAAAGUAUUUUUCAACAGAAGUUGAACUAAAAGGUAUACAUAUUUUCCCUGCAAAGGGUUAACAGCAUCCAUGCUGCCCCUCAGCCUUCAGACUGCCUCAUAGGAGCGCCCCACCCUUCGUGAAGCCUGGCCACCUAGAAAGGCUCUGUCCCCAACACGUGACAACAUACUGAGAGAGGGCACCUGUUUCUGUACAAGUGUGCCCUUCUGGAGCCCACUGGUGCUUCUCAGCACAUUACAGCCCCAGAACUCCCUAAAGGACAUGGGAGAGGUGGCGAACCCAACAUUGUGAUCCCAUGUGAGUCUUCUAUCUGACACCCUCACCGAACCCCAACAGAUUCAGCUGCGGCCAAUGGUCCAGGAAGACAGAUGCCAGGAUAGACAGGUUCAUGGAGGUUGCCAUCAGCCUGAGCAUCACAUAACCAGAGAGACGUUCUAAGGGUCAAGGGUAUAAACCCUAUCUUUUAUUUUCUGUAUUCUGGUGCUUUGACAUCCGGGGCCUUGCUGACCCUGGAGGGGCUGCACCUCCCAGGGUCAGCCAAUUCCUAGAGACAGCUCACCCCCAAGCAUGCUUUUCAAAUGCAAACCAACCAGUCCAGAGGACACACCGCCCCCUUAAGCACCACCUUUACUGGGCUGUCACACUCUGGGCUACCUUCCACCAGGCCUAACUGUCCCAGGGCGAGGUGCCAGAGAGAUAGGGACAGCCUUUAUACCCCAGAGCCUGCUGAAAUUAUUCAGACCAGCUGAUCCUAGGCCUGUCUAUCCUGCCUGGCCUGUUCCAUCCAUGAAAACCACAAUAAAGGCUUCUGACCGCAUCCCCUCCCCCGACCUCCUGACCAACCCUGGUACGUCCCCAUGUGGCCCCCCGUGGUAUGAUAUGCCCCUUCUCUUGGGAAUGGUGAGUAAUAAACUAUCUUUUCCAUGGCAA